GGACUAUCGUAUGGGAGAGGCCAAAAAAGAUUUUGUUGUUUUCGGUCAGUUAAACGCUUAAGGACAGGGAUAUGGAAUGGAAAGGAAGGAGUGAGAAGAGGGACCAGGAGCAACUUGUGCCAAACCUAAAAGGCAAUAAUAAUAAAGAUAGGCUUUUCUGAGCACCACUGAGUGCCAGGCACUGGUGUAAGUGUUACAAUGCUUAUAACUCAGUGCCCUCAUCAUGGAGUCCUCCUGCCAGCACCGCGUGGUGAAGUUCCAUUUUGCAGAGGAGGAAACUGAGAUCAACUGGCUUGUUCAAGUUCACGCACCUAGGAAGUGGUGGAGCCAGGUUUGACUCAGGCCGGCUGGUUCCAGAGCCCAUGGGCCUCAACUCAGCCAACGAGCCCAUUCGCCUUGCCAGGGCUUGGUUUCGCUGAAGCGGGGCUCCAGGCUGGAGUUAGUUUUGUGAAGGGGAUUAGCCCUGGUGGCCGCUGGCUGCUGACAGCUGGCAGUUGGAGUGGGCGAGGCUGAGGGGGCCCCUGGGCCUGGGCAGCUUGGGCAGGAGCCGGCGAGGAAGGGGAGGUGCCUCAGGGGGCCGCCUGGGUGUCGGUGCGGGUAGAAAGGCGGGAGAGACAGGCAGAGGCAGCCGUCUGGGUUGUACAACCUGCAGCCCACGCACGCCGAGAGCCACCAGCGUGGAGUCAGGAUGAGGAGUCCUCCUCCCACCUGGUGUGGGCUGGAGUCCCAGGAGCGGGUGCUGGAGUGGGAUAGCGGGGGAUCAGCUCAUCUGAAGCCCUGGUUGUGGAUGGCACCCAGCACCCUUCUACGUACUGCUCUACUGGCACCUGCGCAGACAGCCAAAAGUCACCGGGAGCUGCAGCGUUCCGUUUUGGAGCAAAAGCGAGAUCAUGGAGUUGAAAGGGACUGAUUUUCACUUUCUUGCCUGGCUCCUAGGCUCACUCAAAGGGCACGUUUCAAAGAGGCUCUCUGGAACGAGGAGCCUUCUGUGGAGGGACCUGCUCCAUGGGACUUUAAGAAGGGGGUGGUGGGCUGUUUUGGGGGAAGAUGAGUGUAUGCCACACCCUCCACAAGCCAUUUGGCUGGCUCAUCCCAACGUGUUGCAGAGGCGGCUGGCCCGGGGCAGGGAGGCUCAUUCUGGCCAUCCCUGGGUUGCUUGUGGGGCUACUUUUCUGGCCAUGAUGACCCAUGAUUUAUUAUGACCCCAAGCACGACCUCUUAGACUUGGGAAGUGUGGUUCCUCCAAAGGGAUCAGAGAAUAGUGACAGAGUAAAUCCAAGAACGCUGUAGAAGGAAGACACUUCUUUAGGCCUCUUAGAGUUAACUGCUUCCUAUUCAACCUGGAAUUAGUUCACGGACCCUGCUGUCUUUGGUAAUACCUCGGUAAUUUUCCUUAAUAAUUGUAACAACUGUUUCACCUUGUUUUCCUCAAAUAUUAGGCUGUUAUUUCAACCAAGUGUGUUUUGGACUUUAACCAGAGACUAUGGCACAAAUUCUGAAGUCAGGUUUAUUUAUUUUUUAUUUUUUAAUUUUUUCCAGCUGUGGGCUGGCUCUGGCUCAGCCAUCUGAAAAUAAGUUAUUUAUAUAUAUGUGUGUAGCCAUAUAGAUAUACUCAUCCACAUAUACGAAGACCACUUCCAAGUCUUUUUUAGUUUGUUGCAUGUGACCCCACAGAAUUCCUUGGACCCAGCUGACCAGGGUUUGACACCCACUUCGUGUGAUCUGGCCAGACCCAGCUACUCCAAGCCCCUCUCCUCACAGGGAAAAUGGCAAAAAGCAGUGUGUAAAUGUCUUAUCAGGGCUCUGUAUACAUUAGAUGCUCAAUAAAGCUCUCAUUUGGGGAAGCUGGAUAACAGAAGUGG
rnacentral:lncRNA from 1 species